rnacentral:rRNA from 1 species
CAUCCUUGAUCGGGAGGUCCGGGUAAUCUUUUGAAACUUCAUCGUGCUGGGGAUAGUCCCUUGCAAUUUUUGGACUUAAACGAGGAAUUCCUAGUAAGCGUGAGUCAUCAACUCGCGUUGAUUACGUCCCUGCCCUUUGUACACACCGCCCGUCGCUACUACCGAUUGAAUGGCUUAGUGAAUCCUUCGGAUUGGCUAUUUUUUUCUGGCAACAGAAUUAAACUGCUAAAAAGUUGGGCAAACUUGGUCAUUUAGAGGAAGUAAAAGUCGUAACAAGGUUUCCGUAGGUGAACCUGCGGAAGGAUCAUUAAAAAAUAUCGCUCGAUUGAGAGUGAUUUAAUAAUCAUCCUUCCCUUUGUGAAUUUUGUUGUUUGUAAUAAUUUUUUUUGAUUUUAAAAAAAAAUUAUUUAUGGUUUUGUCUAUCCCUAAAAUUGGUUUGUUGUGAAAUGAAUCAAAUUUAGGGAAUAGGCUUUCAUAAAUAAGUUUUUUUUAAAGUCUUAAAGACCUUUUUUAAAAUUAAACUUUUGUUGUAUUCAUUUGUCUAAAUUUUUUUUUAAAUAAUUUAAAAACAACUUUUGACAAUGGAUCUCUUGGUUCUCGCAACGAUGAAGAACGCAGCAAAAUGCGAUAAGUAAUGUGAAUUGCAGAAUACGUGAAUCAUCAAAUCUUCGAACGCAUAUUGCAC